ACAGUAGUUCAAGAAAAAAUAGCAAGAAGGAGAUAAAUGAACUAGAAGAUUGUGCUGCAUUAACAGGGCAGUUACAACCUUUUGUCAAAGAAGAAGUUUUGGUCCCUAUAUUCAAUGGAACUUUUCCCUGUACUGCAGAACAGUUCUUCAGUAUUCUUUUAAGUGAUGAUUCAAAUUACAUAACAGAGUGUCGAACGGAUCGGAAGGAUAAAGAUAUAAAUCUGGGCCAAUGGCACAUCGCAGAUGAGUAUGAUGGCCAGGUGAGGGAACUUAAUUGUAAAUCAAUAUGCC